UCAGCUUCUAUCGUUUUGUUAUGGAAGCCGACGUGGCUUUCUUGCGGAACGACACGCUGUCACCGGGCCCAAUGGCUCGCUUCGCAGAAAUCCCAGAAUCCCCGUUGCUUAUGCUGAACAUGGUCACACCAGAGAGCUGGAUGGUGGAGGCAGUCCAGAGCCCAUACGACCUAGACAACAUUCACCUACAAGAUGUACUUGUAGAAAAACUGGUGUGUUUCUUGUAAAACAUAGCGAAACAUACUCUUUUGGUCAAUUUGGAUAAAGCUGUUUUGAAACAGAUCUUUACAUACUAUGGGAUGGGGGGGAUCUACUCAAACACCACAGGGAUGAUGCGGUAGCAGCCAUAGUGCACCAGAGCACCCGGCACUCGCCAGCUAUUAGUGCAGAGGAGAGAGUGAUGUAGCCAAUUCAUAGAUGGGGAUUAUUAGAUUUUUACAAUGUCCGAUUGUGCUGUGUACUCUCAGGUCAGUGGUGUUGUAAACACAGUGUAUGAUCUGGAGGGCCAUUGUUUCGACCUGUCCACAGGUCUGCCUCCACAAGGACUGCAAUUUACACUCGGCAUGAAGCAGUAGCCACUCAUGCAUGAUACCAUCGUCAUGGCCAACCUGGUAAGAUCAAACCUAGGGAUGUGUUAAAUAUCAACAAGGUUUUUCGUGGGUUGGAUUGGUUUUCCAAAUCAGAUUUUAAUUAACAGUCCAUGUUCAAAAAAAUUGUCACAUUAGUGUGUCUCAAGAGCAAAAUAUUAUUAUUUUCUAAAAUUAAAGAGCAAUAUUCAGUGAAAAGAUCAAAGAGUUCUGCAGCAGACAGUAUGGCCUUCAAAGAACCCUGAUCAUUUUACCUGUGGAGGCAGAAGCCAGUAAAAGCCAAUUUCUGCAGGAUAUUUUUUUUUUUUAAAUCAUCUUCAUGAUGCUUGAAGCCAGUGUUCAUUUGUUGUCAAAUAGAGAAGAUAGUGUAUGUUAAUAUAUUUCUGUUUUUCAUAUUUUUUAUGUAUCUAAGACUCUGCAGUACUGCAGCUUAAACCACAAUAUUAAAUGUCAAAUGCAUUUUGCAUUUGCUCUGAAUGUGUACGAUGUGCGAGGUAAUAAGCUUUCACACAUCCGUUGUUAAUUUUUACGUCUUGAUUGUGUUCCAACGUGUUUUGCAGGGAUACUUCCAGCUGAAGGCUAGCCCGGGUGCCUGUAUCCUGAGGUUGCGUAAGGGACGUUCUGAAGACAUUUAUCAGAUACAGGCAUGAGUAGGGCUUUAUCUUAGGAGAAAGAAGCCCAUUGUGAGCAUCAAGCUUAAUCUACCAGAUAGAAACCACUAAAGUGUUAAUAGCUGUUAAAGUUUAUUGUGAUUGCCAUGUAUAAUAUGCUCCCUCUAAGUGGGGUGAGCGGUGGAUCCAAAUGGAAGUUUAGUACCUCUUAAUGAAUUAUAUAACGUCCCACGUUGGCUGUAAGUGUGAAGGAUUGACAUGGAUACUAGAGAAUAGUGUGUUUGUGCGUCUGUGUGUGUGUGUGUGUGUGUGUGUGUGUGUGUGUGUGUGUGUGAAAUUCCACUUGAUCUGAAAGUGAAUGUGCACUGCUUUUUGCUAACAAUGAAGCCUGGUAAUUUGUAGGUUGAGGGUAAGAAAUUGCAAUUUAGAAUAAACUGCAGUGCCAUCUAUCUCCAUCUUCUACCGCUUACUCCUUUUCAGGGUCACGGGGAACCUGGAUCCUAUCCCAGGGAGCAUUGGGCACAAGGCGGGGUACACCCUGGACAAGGAACGAUGGAACAGACUCGCCUGCAGAUGCUGGAGAUAUUAUAGUGAUGCACAACAGCUUUCACAGCAAGAUCAUCAAAGUUCGAGUUCAGAAAAAGCCAGAGAAACUUGAAGAUCUUCUGAGUGAAUCGACAGAAAGCAAAGGCCUGUGGGACUCGAUUCCGAGGUACAUCAAACAUAUAUAGAGUUUGCAUGUGUAUGGUCAAGAUGAGUUUAUUGUGUAUUUGGCAAUUUCACCCAGUGGAGUGAAGGUUGCAUUUGACUUGAUAUAGUUUUAUAGGCAGUCUUGACUAGAGACAUGAAUGAGAGAAAGCUUUUUAAUGUGUUUAUAUUUCUGUGCACUGAUGGUGGGUUCUUGAGAGGUUUAUUUUUGUAUUUAUUUUUUAUUUCUGCCGAAGUGUGCGUCAGAGACAUUUUCCACUGUAAUAUGCCAAAGUGUAUGCGUGUGUGUGCGCACAUGUAUGUGUUUACGUGUUCAUUUCAAUAAACCGCUGUGUUAAUUUUUGUAAUCUGUCUCUUCACUGAUGUCUGUGUCAAGUGUGUGGAGUGCUUUGGAGAAAAGGUAGGGAGCCAAAACUUUUAAACCUAUAAUCUACCUUCACAUCAACUUCUAACACCUCGACGUUUGGGUUCAUCUUUGUAUCUACAGUUAGUUCAGAGAGGAAAUUACAGAACUGACAGAAUAAAUGAAGGUUCCAAUUUUACUUGGGUGUCUUCAGAUGACAGGAAGCAGGAUCUCCAGCACCAGGCAUUUACUGAUGGGUAGCAUUUAUUUUAAUAUGGGGUAAGAUUUAUGGGGUAAGUAAUAACAUGUUUUAAUGUAAAAUCACUGAACACAGAUUAAGUGUAAAAUUCAAAUGUUUCUGUUCAUUCCUGAUUCAUGUACUAAAUAUUCCUGAAGGAACAGGACCACUUUACACAGUAACCACAAGCUGGACCACGAACAGAACAGAAAAGAAGAAAAGUCUC